rnacentral:misc_RNA from 1 species
GAUGAAGAACGCGGCGAAAUGCGAUAAGUAAUGUGAAUUGCAGAAUUCAGUGAAUCAUCGAAUCUUUGAACGCACAUUGCGCCCGCCAGUAUUCUGGCGGGCAUGCCUGUUCGAGCGUCAUUUCAACCAUCAAGCCCCCGGCUUGUGUUGGGGACCUGCGGCUGCCGCAGGCCCUGAAAAGCAGUGGCGGGCUCGCUGUCACACCGAGCGUAGUAGCAUACAUCUCGCUCUGGGCGUGCUGCGGGUUCCGGCCGUUAAACCACCUUCAUAACCCAAGGUUGACCUCGGAUCAGGUAGGAAGACCCGCUGAACUUAAGCAUAUCAAUAAGCGGAGA